rnacentral:lncRNA from 1 species
AAAACUCAUCAUCUUGUACCCCCUAAGAGACACAUUCUCUAAUUUGGGUCUUUCAUGUGUGCACUUCCUAAUUUGAGCCUUUAAUCCUAAAAGAUGCACUUUUAGUAAGAAUCUUUCACUUUCACUCUUAAGAGAGGGACUUAUUGGUCUUAGUCAUUCAAUUUUACCCUCAAAAGGUGCAUUUGUUAAUCAGAAUCAUUGAUUCAUCUUUACAUUAUGCAUUGUUGCAAGUAGUUGUGAUUGGGUUGGACACCUGCAAAAGCUUUUGAUAAUGAACUGGGACAAAAAUAAAAUUUAAUUCCUGUUAUUAGGAACUUCACUUUAGGACCCUCCUACAAACUUUAUCAUAAUAUUUGUGUGGGAUAAUUUUCAUUCUAUUUGAUGUUGAUAUCAGGAGCCCACCUGAAAAACAGGGUGAUGAAAUGAUAAGUCAGGAGCCCGCCUGAAGAACAGGGUGAUGAAAUGGUAAGUCCGGAUCCUGCUUGAAGAAUAGGGUGAUGAAA